rnacentral:lncRNA from 1 species
CAAUGAACGGGGGAACUGACGUAAUGUUGACGGCAGCGUAGAGGAUAUUUGACCUAUUUUUCACGUCGAAGUAGGAAUAUGACGUCAUUUUUUGAAUAAAUAUUUACAUUUAAGGAAUAUUUGACGUCAGAUAAAGGUGAAUGAUGUAAGGUUGACGUCGAACAUGUAUACAGUCGACGUUACAAUCGCUGAGCCGUAGAGUCCCCCACCAGCGUUUUAUUAUCAUCG